rnacentral:rRNA from 1 species
AGGCUUAACACAUGCAAGUCGAGCGCCCCGCAAGGGGAGCGGCAGACGGGUGAGUAACGCGUGGGAACGGUACCCUUUACUAUCGGAAUAACGCAGGGAAACUUGUGCUAAUACCGUAUGUGCCCUUCGGGGGAAAGAUUUAUCGGUAAAGGAUCGGCCCGCGUUGGAUUAGCUAGUUGGUGGGGUAAAGGCCUACCAAGGCGACGAUCCAUAGCUGGUCUGAGAGGAUGAUCAGCCACAUUGGGACUGAGACACGGCCCAAACUCCUACGGGAGGCAGCAGUGGGGAAUAUUGGACAAUGGGCGCAAGCCUGAUCCAGCCAUGCCGCGUGAGUGAUGAAGGCCCUAGGGUUGUAAAGCUCUUU